rnacentral:rRNA from 1 species
AUACGGAGGGUGCAAGCGUUAAUCGGAAUUACUGGGCGUAAAGCGCGCGUAGGCGGUUUAGUCAGUCAGAUGUGAAAGCCCCGGGCUCAACCUGGGAACUGCAUUUGAUACUGCUGAACUAGAGUAUGGUAGAGGGAAGUGGAAUUCCGGGUGUAGCGGUGAAAUGCGUAGAUAUCCGGCGGAACACCAGUGGCGAAGGCGACUUCCUGGACCAAUCCUGACGCCGAGGUGCGAAAGCGUGGGUAGCAAACAGGAUUAGAAACCCGGGUAGUCC